rnacentral:rRNA from 1 species
UACAGGGGGGGCAAGCGUUGUUCGGAAUUACCGGGCGUAAAGGGCCCGUAGGCGGCCUGCUAAGUCCGACGUGAAAUCCCCAGGCUUAACCUGGGAACUGCGUCGGAUACUGGCGGGCUUGAAUUCGGGAGAGGGAUGCAGAAUUCCAGGUGUAGCGGUGAAAUGCGUAGAUAUCUGGAGGAAUACCGGUGGCGAAGGCGGCAUCCUGGACCGACAUUGACGCUGAACGGCGAAAGCUAGGGGAGCAAACAGG